rnacentral:rRNA from 1 species
UACGGGGGGGGCAAGCGUUGUUCGGAAUUACUGGGCGUAAAGGGCUCGUAGGCGGCCAACUAAGUCAGACGUGAAAUCCCCAGGCUCAACCUGGGAACUGCGUCUGAUACUGGAUGGCUUGAAUUCGGGAGAGGGAUGCAGAAUUCCAGGUGUAGCGGUGAAAUGCGUAGAGAUCGGGAAGAACAUCAGUGGCGAAGGCGGCCUGCUGGGCUGUUGCUGACGCUGAGGCGCGACAGCGUGGGGAGCAAACAGG